AUUGAACGCUGGCGGCAGGCCUAACACAUGCAAGUCGAACGAGUGGCGGACGGGUGAGUAAUGUCUGGGAAACUGCCUGAUGGAGGGGGAUAACUACUGGAAACGGUAGCUAAUACCGCAUACCAUCGGAUGUGCCCAGAUGGGAUUAGCUAGUAGGUGGGGUAAAGGCUCACCAAGGCGACGAUCCCUAGCGGGUCUGAGAGGAUGACAAGCCACACUGGAACUGGGACCCGGGCCAGACUCCUACGGGAGGCAGCAGUGGGGAAUAUUGCACAAGGGGCGCAAGCCUGAUGCAGCCAUGCCGCGUGUAUGAAGAAGGCCUUCGGGUUGUAAAGUACUUUCAGCGGAGAGGCGUUACCCGCAGAAGAAGCACCGGCUAACUCCGUGCCAGCAGCCGCGGUAAUUC
rnacentral:rRNA from 1 species